AUUGAACGCUGGCGGCAGGCCUAACACAUGCAAGUCGGACGGUAGCACAGGGGAGCUUGCUCCUCGGGUGACGAGUGGCGGACGGGUGAGUAAUGUCUGGGGAUCUGCCCGAUAGAAGGGGAUAACCACUGGAAACGGUGGCUAAUACCGCAUAACGUCGCAAGACCAAAGAGGGGGACCUUCGGGCCUCUCACUAUCGGAUGAACCCAGAUGGGAUUAGCUAGUAGGCGGGGUAACGGCCCACCUAGGCGACGAUCCCUAGCUGGUCUGAGAGGAUGACCAGCCACACUGGAACUGAGACACGGUCCAGACUCCUACGGGAGGCAGAAGUGGGGAAUAUUGCACAAUGGGCGCAAGCCUGAUGCAGCCAUGCCGGGUGUAUGAAGAAGGCCUUCGGGUUGUAAAGUACUUUCAGCGGGGAGGAAGGCGAUGUGGUUAAUAACCGCGUCGAUUGACGUUACCCGCAGAAGAAGCACCGGCUAACUCCGUGCCAGCCGCCGCAGUAACAC
rnacentral:rRNA from 1 species